CUUCUAACAGUCGCAUAGCAUUUCACAGAAGCUUUUUUACUGAAGGCAAUUUCUCCCACAAUUUUUUUUUUUUUUGGUUGCAGUUUUUUCAUUUUGACGUUCGAGUUUGCUCAAACUCUGUGACUAGAGCAAGGGGUGCUUCGUGCUUGGGAAAAGCCCCUUAUCACUGAAGCCUGCUGCUGCAGAGGAAAAGGGCAGGGCUGGGCACCCUGGGCAGGGUGCAGACUGCCAGCCAGCACAGGGACAAGGUUUUCGUCACAGCAUCGGGCAGACCUCUGAUUCCCUCAGGAAAGCCACUAGUGCUGAGCGCAUGGUGCACUACAGGGAACACUUAAUGACAGAGGGAAGUUAUGGGUUCAAGUUGACCGGGUAAUCUAAUCAAUGCUGCUUACUCCAGACUCUAAUUUACUUGUCUUACAACUCAUUAAAUUUGAAAUAUUAUUGAUUUUCGAGUAGAUGGCUUAGCUGAUACAUAAGUACAUUUUACCUUGGGGACCUCGGUUUGAGUUUCAUCAGUGGAUUUGCAGGUGAGAAAGCUCAGAUCCCUUCAUGGGGCAGUGUUGGUGGGAAAAUCACACCAGACACACACUCCCGAUGCAAAUAAUUGGCCAGAACCCCAGAUUUCCUAAUAGCUCAUGCUGAAUGGGCUAUUUUCAUGUUUCUGAAGAGGGUGUCUAGACAGCAGGGGACAGUGAAUUGUAUGACUUGGAGACGCCCUUCUUAAGAGCAGGCACUUCUCCGAAAUGUAAUUUUGUUGUAUUCUGCAAACCAAGAGAUGCUACGAACCUUCUUUUUCUCCAGUACUAAAAAUCAUCCUGCUGGGUUUUCAGCAACCGAUUCUGUUUUUGACCCUCAACAGCCUGGACCAGAUUUGAUUCCUACAGAGUACCAGCAGUCCUCUAAUGAAGUCUCUGCCUCAGCCUCUCACAUGCUGGAAUCUGACCGGCCAACAGCUCCUGCACCAGACUUCCUGGGCUUGAUUGCUGAAGAAACUAAAGCUAUAAAUUAUGUCUAAUGUUCUAUUAUUUCUAUUUUUGUUGGGCCACGGUAAAGUUGGUAAGUGAAACCAAUUUCCUUAGAAAACAAAAUGAAUCAAUACAUGCUAAAACAUGGAUGGAUGUCAGAAACAUGUUAAACAAAGGAAGCCAGAUAUAAAAGCCCGUAUAUUUAUAUGAUUCCAUUGAUGUGAAAUGUCCCAAAAAGGUAAUCAAUAAGGAGAGAAAGUAGAUUAGUGGUGGCCUAGGGCUGGGGAUAGGAACAAGGAAUGCCUGUUGAUAGAUAGGAGAGAUAUUUUCUUGAGGUGAUGGAAAUGUCCUAAUACCAGAUUCUGGUGAUGGUUGCACAAUCCUGCAAAUUUACUAAGAAUCAUUGAAUUGCAUACUUAAAACAGGUGAGAUUUAUGGUAAGUAAAGUACACCUCAGUGUACGUCUAUUCAGAAAGAAGAGAUCCAUGCCAAAGGAAGCCAUAGGCUAUCAUUUGUCAUUGUACAGUUAGCUCUUCUUUUUUUUUGCUUUCUCGCCUGAAGGGAAGUGGAUAGCUAGUAUCAGGAGACAACCCCUUCCUGUUGGUCUAUGUAGACACUACGCAAAAUACCAUCCAUCAGCUACUUUAGAGCUGAAGGGAUCGAUAAUCCUAGGUCUUGUCACGACACUGGUCAGAGAUAUGCCCACUUGGUGCUGGGUAACGUUCCCAUGCCUGUAUCACUGCCUCAUCACGGGGCUCUUAAUCUUCCCAACUCGUGGUCUGCUAUCCAUGGAAAAUGGUCUCUCUAGGAUGUUGGGAUCACCACUUAUUUGGUGUGCAUUUUAUUUUGUUUUUAAAAUUUUAAACAUUUAUUGAUUGAUUGACUGAGAGAGAGACAGAGAGACAGAGCAUGAGCGGGGGAGGGUCACAGAGAGAGGGAGAGAAUCCCAAGCAGGCUCUGUGCUUCCAGUGUAGGGUCUGACAUGGGGCUCAGUCUCACAAACUGCAGGAUCGUGACCUGAGCUGAAAUUGAGUGGGACGCUCAACCAACUGAGCCACCUAGGCGCCCCAGUACAGCGUGCGAUUUUAACCUUAUUCUUCACCACAUUAUGGUAAAGUGGUUCCUUAGAUGUCUGUAUCCCCCUCAGGACAGAAGCUCUUCCAGGAUGGGACACCGUGUGGUGUUCAUCUCUGCGCCCCUGAGGCUUGACGUAUAGUGGCACAUAAUGGCUGCUUAAUACCUUUGUACUGCUCUCAGAUGACUUGGUUUGCCCCAGAGUUGCUACCUGGUGGGAGGGGAUGGUAAAGCUGACUUACGUUUGGAGCCUUCGGGGAUGGCACAAAGUCAAGUUGACCAACUUCUGCAGUAUCAGCCUUCUUUCCCACAGCAACGCUGCUUAAAAAAGCACGCCAGCUCAGUGGUUGGAAAGAAGAGUCAGGUAUUCUUGUUCGUGUGUCUGUGUGUUGGCUGAGGGUUGGCUGAUCUAAGCUUUGUUCAUAUGAACUUGGCUCGAAACUGUGGGUAAGGCCGAGCUAUUGCCCACAUUUUUCGCAUCCUCCUUGGACCAGUGAGGCUACCUGAUACGUGUUCUUUCCGUGGCUGGAUAGUAAGAGUAUGAGUGGAAGCAUGUGAUGAUGCGUUUAAGAUCUGUGCUCGGGGCGCCUGGGUGGCGCAGUCGGUUAAGCGUCCGACUUCAGCUGGGUCGCGAUCUCGCGGUCCGUGGGUUCGAGCCCCGCGUCGGGCUCUGGGCUGAUGGCUGGGAGCCUGGAGCCUGUUUCCGAUUCUGUGUCUCCCUCUCUGUCUGCCCCUCGCCCGUUCAUGCUCUGUCUCUCUCUGUCCCAAAAAUAAAUAAACGUUGAAAAAAAAAAAAAAGGUCUGU
rnacentral:lncRNA from 1 species